rnacentral:lncRNA from 1 species
CUAGGGAUUGGACAACUGAAUUUAAAGGCAAGUUAAAGUUCAAUAUUUUGAACAAUGUUUAAAUCAAGAUGAGCGAGAAGACAGAACUGUUAAAAGGUUUUAUUUUACAGCCAAGUGAAGGAUUCAGCUAUGUCCCAAAGGAUUAAACAAGAUGGUAUGCUUAAUAAUUCCUCGCUUCUAUGAAACUCCCUGAUUAUGAAGUGUACUUUCAUUCUAUAGAACUACUCCUGAUUUCAUCAGGAAACUCUGAUCUGAAACUCAAUUUACAGAAAUAUUAAAAAUGAAUUUUCGACUAAAUGGGAAUAUUUGUAUACUAAUAUGAUACAAUAUUGUUGCUUCAUUUUUUUCAUAUUAAAUACUAUUCUAAACUCUAAAUUUGUUAAUAAAUGAAGCAGAA